GCUGUAGCUCAGUGAUAGAGCUUCUCCUUUUCAUGUAGAAGGUUCCAGAAUCAAUCCUGGGCAUCUCCA